CGAGUGGCGGACGGGUGAGUAACGUCUGGGAAACUGCCCGAUGGAGGGGGAUAACUACUGGAAACGGUAGCUAAUACCGCAUAAUGUCGCAAGACCAAAGAGGGGGACCUUCGGGCCUCUUGCCAUCGGAUGUGCCCAGAUGGGAUUAGCUAGUAGGUGGGGUAACGGCUCACCUAGGCGACGAUCCCUAGCUGGUCUGAGAGGAUAACCAGCCACACUGGAACUGAGACACGGUCCAG
rnacentral:rRNA from 1 species